GAUGAACGCUGGCGGCGUGCCUAAUACAUGCAAGUCGAGCGAACAGACGAGGAGCUUGCUCCUCUGACGUUAGCGGCGGACGGGUGAGUAACACGUGGAUAACCUACCUAUAAGACUGGGAUAACUUCGGGAAACCGGAGCUAAUACCGGAUAAUAUAUUGAACCGCAUGGUUCAAUAGUGAAAGACGGUUUUGCUGUCACUUAUAGAUGGAUCCGCGCCGCAUUAGCUAGUUGGUAAGGUAACGGCUUACCAAGGCGACGAUGCGUAGCCGACCUGAGAGGGGUGUCGGCCCAGCCUGGAGUUGACACCCGGCCCAACCCCCACCGGGAGCACACGGAGGGAAUUCUUCAGAAUGGGCCGAAACCCGGCCGGGCCCCGCCCGCGGGUGAAAGAAGGUUUUAGGUAUCAAAAAACUUUUUUAUAAGAAAAGAACAAAUUGUUAAUAAACUUUACCCUUCUUCGGGUUACCUAAAGAGAAACCCAGAACAAACCCCGUA
rnacentral:rRNA from 1 species